rnacentral:rRNA from 1 species
UACGAAGGGGGCUAGCGUUGCUCGGAAUCACUGGGCGUAAAGGGUGCGUAGGCGGGUCUUUAAGUCAGGGGUGAAAUCCUGGAGCUCAACUCCAGAACUGCCUUUGAUACUGAGGAUCUUGAGUACGGGAGAGGUGAGUGGAACUGCGAGUGUAGAGGUGAAAUUCGUAGAUAUUCGCAAGAACACCAGUGGCGAAGGCGGCUCACUGGCCCGUAGCUGACGCUGAGGCACGAAAGCGUGGGGAGCAAACAGG